rnacentral:miRNA from 1 species
CAAGCUGUGAACCUUGGCAAG